rnacentral:lncRNA from 13 species
UAUAUGUGAAUAUCUACGAGAUUUCCAACUAAAGGAGUCUGACAGGAAAAUGUGCUGGUCUGUAGGCCGAAAAGAAGAGGCCGACUGGAGGGUCCUCAAUGGCCACAGGAGAGGGAGCCCAUCUCAGGCAGAAUGUACAGCCUGAGACACCUGCCGAGUACACUGGAGAGAAAAAUGUGUCACCUCUGCAUUCAGCUUCACUGAUCAAGAAAAUGAAUUCGAUCCUGGAUCUCUGUCCUUCCGAUAGCAGCUUUCUGGGAGAAGUCGUCAAUACGAUAUGUCUUGUACAUCUACUGUAUGCCAAGCGCUGUGCUAAGCCCUGGGGAUGA